GGACUACUAGGGUAUCUAAUCCCGUUCGCUCCCCUCGCUUUCGUCCCCGAGCGUCAGGUACCAGCCAGGACAUUGCCUUCGCCUUCGGUGUUCUUCCGGAUCUCUACGCAUUUCACCACUCCACCCGGAGUUCCAUGUCCCUCUCUGGCCCUCGAGCUGCGCCGUCUUCGUGGCCCUCGGUCAGUUAAGCCGACCGCUGUCACCACAAACGCACGCAACCGCCUGCGGACCCUUUACGCCCAGUAACUCCGGACAACGCUCGCCCCCUACGUAUUACCGCGGCUGCUGGCAC
rnacentral:rRNA from 1 species